CCCCGCUGUGGUCUUUCCAGGUCCAUUUUCUGCUUCAGCUCUUAACGAUGCAUUUUAAGGAGGGCCAUGCACUCUCUGUCUCUGUACCCAGACUCCAGCAAGUGUAGGCUCAGCCACCCUUUCAGAUCCACUUCAAGCAAGCAGGACAGAAAGUGCUCCCCAUGGUUCUGUCUGAACUGGCUGACAUUCUGAGCACACACUGGGUCCCAGGCUGGAGUCAGGAACCUAGAGAUGUCCUGCCUCCUGGACUGGGUCAGACAGCCACAGAAUACAGGCUUCAAACCGCUUUUCACACCAUUCUGGUUGGAAAUGGAACCAUUGGAGGCUCAUCAUGUUACCUUCAGCAAGCAUGGAAACAAAUGAAGACACUGAGAAUGUCAGUGGUCAGCCUUUCAUUUAAAUCUUUGUAAAGGAAGUCUCUCGGUCAGUGUAACUCACUUGUGUGAAAUCAACCAUCCCCAUCUCACUGCUCCUUAAUCAAGGAAACCACCCAAUUUGUGUGGACUGAAACACGCAUUGCCUUUCAAGUUAAUCGAGUGCUUACUGCGCGUGACUCACUGUAAAAAGAUGGGAGAGAAGAUGAGGAGAUAAAUCAGGAGCAGGGCCUGCCUUCAGGGAAGCUACAAUUAGUUUCAGGAUGCAUAUUUCUUUCUUCUGCUCAUAGUUAAAAUUUUCUCUCAUACAAGAAACAAAUGAAUGGGAAAACAUAUUCUGCAAAUAUUUUAAGCUUCAUUAAUGAGAAACAAAAUAGAACAACAGCAGCAAAGCCAUCUGGGAAAUUCAAGACAUUUUAAUCCUUUAUUGUUUUAUUUUAUUACCUUGCAGUGCUAAAAUGUAAUCUAUUUUAUUUAUUCCAUAAAUGCAUGGUAAACUUUAGAGACACAAUGCUUUGAGUUAAUUUGAAUUCAAUUCUACUUUUGUCCUAUGCAUGUAAGUUGUCUGUUGGAAAACCCAUAUUGUUUAUAUAAUUCUUGGGAGGUAGGAUGCUGAGUCACACUUGUUGUAUCUACAGGCGUCUACCUUCUGUGACCUCAAGACCACCAUUCUGAGUGAGAUACUUGUGAGGAGAAGAGAAAGAUCUAGAUAAAAUUUGGGGGUUGGGACUCACAGACACAAGACCAGACAGAAAGCAACAAAACAUCUGGCAAAGGGAUCUUGGAAAUCUGGCUGAGCAAUUUUUAAAAGUAUUCAUCUGUUGUCUCCCAUAGCUUCAAUGGCUAAACAGUUUCCCUAAAGAUUCCUAUCAGACUUGAGAAUAAGUCAUUACUUUUCCAGUGUUAAGAUGCUGAUAUUACUAGAGACACCAGGCAUUUUAUGUCAUGUCUGUGACCUAUUUCUAUAUGGAUGAGCCUCGUUGUCUUGAGUAGUGUCCAUGUAAUUGAAAAUGUGACAAUUCUUUUAAAACGUCAUCAACAGACUUCCUAAUUAAGCUGCCAAUACAAACUGUCAAUAACACUGUGUGCUGUUUGACAAAUGAGUAGUGUUGCUUGAACCUUAUUAAAUAAAUAGUGCUGGCCCCUC